rnacentral:rRNA from 1 species
CCUACGGGGGGCAGCAGGGAGGAAUAUUGGUCAAUGGGCGCGAGACUGAACCAGCCAAGUAGCGUGAAGGAUGACGGCCCUACGGGUUGUAAACUUCUUUUAUAAAGGAAUAAAGUGAGGCACGUGUGCCUUUUUGUAUGUACCUUAUGAAUAAGGAUCGGCUAACUCCGUGCCAGCAGCCGCGGUAAUACGGAGGUUCCGAGCGUUAUCCGGAUUUAUUGGGUUUAAAGGGAGCGUAGAUGGGUUGUUAAGUCAGUGGUGAAAGUUUGCGGCUCAACCGUAAAAUUGCAGUUGAUACUGGCAGCCUGGAGUGCAGUUGAGGUAGGCGGAAUUCGUGGUGUAGCGGUGAAAUGCUUAGAUAUCACGAAGAACUCCGAUUGCGAAGGCAGCAUACUAAACUGCAACUGACGUUGAUGCUCGAAAGUGUGGGUAUCAAACAGGAUUAGAUACCCGUGUAGUC